GAUGAAGAACGUAGCGAAAUGCGAUAAGUAAUGUGAAUUGCAGAAUUCAGUGAAUCAUCGAAUCUUUGAACGCACAUUGCGCCCGCCAGUAUUCUGGCGGGCAUGCCUGUUCGAGCGUCAUUUCAACCAUCAAGCCCUGCUUGCGUUGGGGUCCUGCGGCUGCCCGCAGGCCCUGAAAAUCAGUGGCGGGCUCGCUAGUCACACCGAGCGCAGUAAUACAUCUCGCUUUGGGCGUGCGGCGGGUUCUUGCCGUUAAACACCCCCUUUUUACCAAGGUUGACCUCGGAUCAGGUAGGAAUACCCGCUGAACUUAAGCAUAUCAAUAAGCGGAGGA
rnacentral:misc_RNA from 1 species